rnacentral:rRNA from 1 species
UACGUAGGGUGCGAGCGUUGUCCGGAAUUAUUGGGCGUAAAGCGCGCGCAGGCGGUCCUUUAAGUCUGAUGUGAAAGCCCACGGCUCAACCGUGGAGGGUCAUUGGAAACUGGGGGACUUGAGUGCAGGAGAGAAGAGUGGAAUUCCACGUGUAGCGGUGAAAUGCGCAGAUAUCAGGAGGAACACCGGUGGCGAAGGCGGGUCGUCUGGGCCGAUGACUGACGCUGAGGAGCGAAAGCGUGGGGAGCGAACAGG